AUCUCCAUAAAUCCCGGUUUUAUCACGAAUUGAAGUGAUAACUGGGAUUCUGUGGAGAUCU
rnacentral:pre_miRNA from 1 species